GGCAGGAAAAGACUGAUGUCCCAUCUCAAAGCAGUCAGGCAGAGGGAGUUCCCUCUUGUUCUCACUCAAGGAAGGAUGGCGCAGUGCUCCCGCUGUUCCGAGGCUCAGCUACCCUGAGGGAGGCAGGGAAUUUUGAUCAGCUUCUGAAGAAUCACCUCAUCUCUCCCCGCAGAGAGCACAGAGCACAGGACUUCACGUUAUGUCAACAUCUCUUGCAAAAGCCCAGCUCCUAGAGAGCAGGAGCCUUCCCAGACUGUGUCAAAUUACCUCGGGGAUGGAGAGACUUACAUGGCAUUAAUAGAAAUCAAAUGGCAGAGCUCGGGUUUCUGAUGAGUCUCCUGAGGUUCAGAAGGGUGAGAUGACACAUUCAAGGUCACAUGGCUCAUUUGUGUUGGAGUCAGAAGUUUCCAGAUUUCUUGACUUUUAGUCCAAGGAGCAGUCCCUGUGCAUGUGUCAGAGUUGAACAAGCCAGCUGGACUGAGUGCCCAUGACCUCAGGGACAUCUUGGAAGCUAUAUGUAGAAGAUGGAAAAGCCUCUGUCAUCUCCAUCAAUUUAAUCUCCAAAUAACUACUUAGAAAAGGGACAGCUUACUAACUCCUUCAUUGCCCAGUACUAUUAGGUAAUGAAUGCAUCAACUGUUAUUUAGACCAUGUUGGCUAUUACUACUAAAUCAUGCUGUCUGUCUCCGUGGCUCUUAGCUGGUGAGAGAAGUACAUCUCAAUCAUCUGUGGAAGCAUAUGACUGGUUUGAAAAAUUUCCCCCAGUAAUCCCGAUGGGCCCUUCUUUGGGUGGGAACCUUGACCUGGGAUCCUUGAGAGUCUCUGCUGGCUCUCCUUUCCAGCCUGGGGAGGGGGAAAUACUGACUCUCCUCAGUGAUCAUCAAAACAACCUGCAAAUCUGAAGCAACAUUAUUUAUUUUUUAAUGGAUUUCGAGUCCUUUGUGGAUGUUUUCUGAGUAAUGUUUACCAAAGCAAAUGCAUUAAAGAAUUAAAACU
ensembl:lncRNA LINC02380 long intergenic non-protein coding RNA 2380